GUCAUAAAAUAUCUGAUAAAACAUACUUUUUCUCUUUUCAGAAUAGUAUGACAAUAAAACAGAUCUAGAUGUCUUGGGAUUUAGAAUAUUGCACUGUACACUGAAGGAUGCAAUACUUGAUGAGAAGUCUAAAAUACAUCUACAAAACUUUCAGGCUGUGACUGAUCAACUUCUAGGAUGUGGCCCUGCUCACCUCAUGACAGCUACUCAACAGGAGGGCUCAUCAUCCCAAAGGCAAAGGGUCCACACCUGCUGACAAGCAAGAGAUCUAUACCUAUGCAGAAAGGAAGCAUGGCUGUCAGCUUGCUUUCUGUGGCAUUUUUUGCAAUAAGCCUGACUUAUCUAGAAGGUGAGAAGUGGUUGUCCCUUGUGGCAGUCAGCAUCACAUUCUGGACAGUUUUAUAGCAUUACUUUGGAGCGGUUUGCCUUCAGAAGGGAAUGUUUACUGGUGGAAGAUCUGGCCUGUGCAAAUAACUCCAGCUUGGUCUGGGAGAUUGGGGGAUGAUACUACUCUAUUCUGUGAAGGCAAGCUACAAGAGGGUGCCUCCCUGCUCCCUCUUAUCUGCUGGUAUGGCCCGGAAGAUGGGAACAAAGGAAGUCCUUUCUGAGAUCCAAAAGACAGAAGCUAUCACUCCAAAAGGAGCUGACUCGACCACUUUGGACCUGUAAAUAAGUUUUUACUGUCAUUGGAAAAUGUUGUCGUUAUCGUCAUUGUCGUCAACCAAACAGCAACCUCCGAUGACCCAUCACUACUGAAGAUCAACAUCUGAACUACGAGCAAUGCUGGGACUGUGGUGGUGACUAUCUCUCUUGCUUCCUCCAAAGACUCCUUGCUUUUAUUUCCUAUCUUUUCUAUUGCCUGUCUUCCCUUCCCCGUCUCCCUAAAUGACUAGAAUUUGUAAUAAACUGGUUGGGCUAA